rnacentral:rRNA from 1 species
UACAGAGGGGGCGAGCGUUGUUCGGAAUUACUGGGCGUAAAGCGCACGUAGGCGGCUUCUUAAGUCAGGGGUGAAAGCCUGGAGCUCAACUCCAGAACUGCCUUUGAUACUGAGAAGCUUGAGUCCGGGAGAGGUGAGUGGAACUGCGAGUGUAGAGGUGAAAUUCGUAGAUAUUCGCAAGAACACCAGUGGCGAAGGCGGCUCACUGGCCCGGUACUGACGCUGAGGUGCGAAAGCGUGGGGAGCAAACAGG